UGUUCGGGUUAAGUCCCGCAACGAGCGCAACCCUUAUCCCCAGUUGCCAUCAGGUAAAGCUGGGAACUCUGGGGAGACUGCCGGUGAUAAACCGGAGGAAGGCGGGGAUGACGUCAAGUCCUCAUGGCCCUUACAUCCCGGGCUACACACGUGCUACAAUGGCAGGUACAGAGGGCUGCGAAGCCGCGAGGUGGAGCGAAUCCCAGAAAACCUGUCUCAGUCCGGAUUGAAGUCUGCAACUCGACUUCAUGAAGGCGGAAUCGCUAGUAACCGCGAAUCAGCAGGUCGCGGUGAAUACGUUCCCGGGCCUU
rnacentral:rRNA from 1 species